UACGUAGGGGGCAAGCGUUGUCCGGAUUUAUUGGGCGUAAAGAGCGUGUAGGCGGCUAGGUAGGUGGGUUGUGAAAACUGGAGGCUCAACCUCGAGACGCCGAUGGAAACCGUCUGGCUAGAGUCCGGAAGAGGAGAGUGGAAUUCCUGGUGUAGCGGUGAAAUGCGCAGAUAUCAGGAAGAACACCCGUGGCUAAGGCGGCUCUCUAGUACGGUACUGACGCUGAGACGCGAAAGCGUGGGGAGCGAACAGG
rnacentral:rRNA from 1 species